rnacentral:sRNA from 2 species
GUUGAUAUAUUCGACAUACCGUAGACAGAAGGUGCUCAUCGAUUGAGCUUAAACCCUUCCGAGGUGUUCUUGCUCAGAGAGCCUGUUUGUUCAGGUAUCCUUUUUGACGAUUACGCCUCCUCUGCCCUGCAGAAGGAGGCUUUUUAUUUGAAAUC